AUCACCUGGCUUUCAGCGCAAUUCAAAUAAGGUACAGCCUAUUUGAAACAGGAUACAACCUAACCCAAUGGAUAAGAUCAGCCCAGCAUACAAUCAAGUGGGCCUAAAAGCAGCCACCUUAAAUACAGCGUCAAAGCUAAAUUGUAAUCGCGCCCAAUGACUUAAUCUACAUCUUAAUCCUCAACCAAUACUGAGUAAUUCCAUAACACUAUGGAAAUUUCUAUGUUAAAACUAGUAACAAGAAGAAGACCCUUCUCUUAAAUGUACGUGUAAAUCAGAAGAGACAAACUACUGAUACUUAACACCCAUGAGCUCAAAGUAACAACUAACCAAGAAAACCCUACUUUAUCUAGUGUUAACCUAACACAAGAACAUUCCAAGAAAGAUUAAAAGAAAAAGAAGGAACUCGGCAAAUAUUAACCUCGCCUGUUUACCAAAAACAUCGCCUCUUGAAUUAUUAUAAGAGGUCCAGCCUGCCCAGUGACCCUGUUCAACGGCCGCGGUAUCCUAACCGUGCGAAGGUAGCGUAAUCACUUGUUCUCUAAAUGCGGACUAGUAUGAAUGGCAUCACGAAGGUUAUACUGUCUCCUUUUUCUAAUCAGUGAAACUAAUCUCCCCGUGAAGAAGCGAGGAUUAUCCUAUAAGACGAGAAGACCCUAUGGAGCUUUAAACAAUGCAGCAUCUGCCCCAUACCACCAAUAUUUCCGAACUUUAACUCACCGGACAGUGUGACUGCAAGUUUUUGGUUGGGGUGACCACGGAGCAUAACACAACCUCCAUGCUGAAAGAAUAUCUCUAAGCUAAGAACCACAAAUCUAAGCAUCAAUAAAUUGACAUCCAUUGACCCAAUAAACUUGAGCAACGAACCAAGUUACCCUAGGGAUAACAGCGCAAUCCACUUCAAAAGCUCCUAUCGACAGGUGGGUUUACGACCUCGAUGUUGGAUCAGGGUCUCCCAGUGGUGCAGCCGCUACUAAA
rnacentral:rRNA from 1 species